rnacentral:rRNA from 1 species
GAUGAACGCUGGCGGCGUGCCUAAUACAUGCAAGUCGAGCGAACAGACGAGGAGCUUGCUCCUCUGACGUUAGCGGCGGACGGGUGAGUAACACGUGGAUAACCUACCUAUAAGACUGGGAUAACUUCGGGAAACCGGAGCUAAUACCGGAUAAUCUAUUGAACCGCAGGGUUCAUUGGUAAAAGACGGUUUUGCGGUAACUUAUAGCUGGAUCCGCGCCGCAUUAGCUGGUUGUUACGGAAACGGCUUACCAAGGCAACGAUGCGUAGCCGACCUGAGAGGGUGAUCGGCCGCACUGGAACUGAGACACGGUCCAGAGUCCUGCGGGAGGCAGCAGUAGGGAAUCUUCCGCAAUGGGCGAAAGCCUGACGGAGCAACGCCGCGUGAGUGAUGAAGGUCUUCGGAUCGUAAAACUCUGUUAUGAGGGAAGAACAAAUGUGUAAGUAACUAUGCACGUCUUGACGGUACCUAAUCAGAAAGCCACGGCUAACUACGUG